UAUGCUUUGGAAAACUAAACUUUUUACUGUACGUCUUUAUUGCUCUAGUCAAGAACACUAAGUUUAAUUAAAAAAGAAUUGAAUUGUGAUAGAAGGAUAAAUGAGAUACGGUUAUGUAUUUUAUAUAGGUCGUGAAAAAUGUAGAUUUUAUAAUACUAUAACUUCUAAAAUCUUCGAACUUAAAUGAAGAAUCUAUUGUUAUUU
rnacentral:lncRNA from 1 species